rnacentral:lncRNA from 10 species
GACCAUCACGGACGCCGAGCUUCGGGUAACUCUCACAGUGGAAGGUAAGCCCGUCCCCUUCUUAAUCAAUACGGAGGCUACCCACUCCACAUUACCUUCUUUUCAAGGGCCUGUUUCCCUUGCCUCCAUAACUGUUGUGGGUAUUGACGGCCAGGCUUCUAAACCUCUUAAAACUCCCCAACUCUGGUGCCAACUUAGACACUACUCUUUUAAGCACUCCUUUUUAGUUAUCCCCACCUGCCCAGUUCCCUUAUUAGGCUGAGACACUUUAACUAAAUUAUCUGCUUCCCUGACUAUUCCUGGACUACAGCUAUAUCUCAUUGCCGCCCUUCUUCCCAAUCCAAAGCCUCCUUUGCGUCCUCCUCUUGUAUCCCCCCACCUUAACCCACAAGUAUAAGAUACCUCUACUCCCUCCUUGGCGACUGAUCAUGCACCCCUUACCAUCUCAUUAACACCUAAUCACCCUUACCCCACUCAAUGCCAAUAUCCCAUCCCGCAGCACGCUUUAAAAAGAUUAAAGCCUGUUAUCACUCACCUGCUACAGCAUGGCCUUUUAAAUGCUAUAAACUCUCCUUACAAUUCCCCCAUUUUACCUGUCCUAAAACCAGACAAGCCUUACAAGUUAGUUCAGGAUCUGUGCCUUAUCAACCAAAUUGUUUUGCCUAUCCACCCUGUGGUGCCCAACCCGUACACUCUUGUCCUCAAUCCCUUCCUCCACAACUCACUAUUCCAUGCUUGAUCUUAAAGAUGCUUUUUUCACUAUUCCCCUGCACCCCUCGUCCCAGCCUCUCUUUGCUUUCACUUAGACUGACCCUGACACCCAUUAGGCUCAGCAAAUUACCUG